rnacentral:lncRNA from 1 species
ACCAUGGAAGGACUUCUUCAAGCUGGUUCUUCAUAUUUUUACUACAAGUAAGUUCAAUUCUUGACUAUUUCUUGAAAUUUUUGUAUUUUUAUGACUUUUACAACUAGGCCCACUUGUUAAAUUCAUUAGUUUUUGAUUUUAUGAAAGAAGUUGAAAGUUGAUAUGAAUAUGUGCUGGAAUUAUAUGAUGAUUUAGCAUGGAAUUAGAGCUUUAAAUUGUUCAUAUGCUGAUUUUAUUGAAAGAAUUGAAUAGAAAGUGAAUAUUUGGGACCUAAUAGUAAAAGAGUUUGAAAAUAGAGUUAUAUGUGGAAAUUCUGAAUUUCAAUAGUUGUGUAACAACUUAUAAUGUCUAGGUAAAGUAUUAAUUGAGAAAAUUAGAUUAAUUGAGGGGUUAAUUGAGAAAGGACCGAAUUGUUUAAACUGUGAAAUUUGGGGCAAAAUGAAAAUUAACAUUUUGCACUAAAGCAGUUUUGGACAGCAGCAGUAGUGUAACUUUGAAAAAUCACAAAAACAUUGUAUAGAUUGAAUUAGAGGAUGAAUAAAAUAUGAAACUAAAGCUUAUU